GACGAACGCUGGCGGCGUGCUUAACACAUGCAAGUCGAACGGAAAGGCCCUGCUUUUGUGGGGUGCUCGAGUGGCGAACGGGUGAGUAACACGUGAGUAACCUGCCCUUGACUUUGGGAUAACUUCAGGAAACUGGUGCUAAUACCGGAUAGGAGCUCCUGCUGCAUGGUGGGGGUUGGAAAGUUUCGGCGGUUGGGGAUGGACUCGCGGCUUAUCAGCUUGUUGGUGGGGUAGUGGCUUACCAAGGCUUUGACGGGUAGCCGGCCUGAGAGGGUGACCGGCCACAUUGGGACUGAGAUACGGCGCAGACUCCUACGGGAGGCAGCAGUGGGGAAUAUUGCACAAUGGGCGGAAGCCUGAUGAAGAAACGCCGCGUGCGGGAUGACGGCUUUCGGGUUGUAAACCGCUUUAGCCUGUGACGAAGCGUGAGUGACGGUAAUGGGUAAAGAAGCACCGGCUAACUACGUG
rnacentral:rRNA from 1 species